rnacentral:lncRNA from 1 species
GUUAGGCCAGUGAUUGAAGCCAUUGUAACAGUUCAGGCAGGAGUGGAUUGCACCUUGGACCUCUUGGUGUUGGAGAUGGAGGGAAGCAAAUGGAUGAACAAAUGGAUGUGGGAGAUAUUUUAGGAGGUAAAAUGAAAGGCUUGGAACAUCUUUUCUAUCCCCUGCUCCUGUAUUUAUUGGUUAGUGCUGCCUUAUAUUCUGAGGUCAAUUUCUGUCUUUUCAGGGACUCUUUUCCUGACAUUCCAGACUGUGUUAUACAGAAGCCCAAUAAAUGUUUGUGGAACUGACAUGAUAGAGAAAGUUCUUGUAAAGAUGGAAGAGAUUUGAGUGUGGAUAUGGACUAAGGAAAAAGUUCUAGCAGAGAGGUGAAGAUUGAAGAUGCUAAAGAGAGAAGGUUGUCCUUGGACUCAUGGAGAGAAAGCUGGCCCUGAGCUCUUGGGGGCACUGCUCACCAGGAACUAAUUGACACAUGGAUUUGGAAGUUCAGUUGGCGAGUCGGCUGCUAUUUCACAGGCAUCCCCUUUUGCCCCUGAGAGUGGUUCUUCCAGCCACCAAUUUAAAGUGGAGGGAGAGGGACAAAAAACCACCUGCCAGGUAUUAUGCUUAUUACCUGGGUGUCAAAAUCAUCCAUACACCAAACUUCUGUGACAAGCAGUUUACCUAUAUAACAAACCUGCACAUGUACUCCUGAACUGAAAAUAAAAGUUAAAAAAAAACAAUAAAAUGGUAAAAAUGUCCCACAUGGGCAGUAGACAAUGACAGUUGUUGCUCUGGAGGUGGGAAAGGCUGAAUGGUGGUCUUGAAAUAGAUGGGACAUGGAAUACACACACAGGCGAGCACUCACGCUGCAGGGCAGAGGACCAGACACCUCUCAUGUGGACUCCUGCUGACUGGCGAACUCCCCUGUGUCUUCAGCCUCUUCCCCACACCCCAUUCCCCCACUGCCUUUUUUGGAAACAUGGCUAUUGCCUGAGGACAGCCCUGCUCUGGCAGCGGUCUC